GUGCCAGCAGUUGCGGUAAAACGUAAAGGACAAGUAAUACACAUAAUUGGUAUAAAGAGUUAGCAAUACGGAUUAAAUAUUAAUCUAGAAUUUAUAAGUGAGUUAUUAUGAGGUAUAUGAGUAACGGUUAAAUGUGUCAAUACAUAUAUUACAACCAAUAAAGAAAUGAUAUAACUAAUACAUAAAUUGACGUUGAGUAACGAAACUUAGAGUAUCGAAUAGGACUAGUCAACCUAUUAGUUCUAAGUGUAAACUAUGUAUACUAAUAUUUCAUUAUAUAUUAAUGGGAUAUAAAGCUAAUGCGCAAGUAUAUCACCAGGGAAGUACUGAUUAAUCGAAGAAACCCAAAACAAUAGACGGUCUGAGUUUUAACAGUGGAUUAUGUUAUUUAAU
rnacentral:rRNA from 1 species